AUUGAACGCUGGCGGCAGGCCUAACACAUGCAAGUCGAACGGUAACAGGAAGCAGCUUGCUGCUUUGCUGACGAGUGGCGGACGGGUGAGUAAUGUCUGGGAAACUGCCUGAUGGAGGGGGAUAACUACUGGAAACGGUAGCUAAUACCGCAUAACGUCGCAAGACCAAAGAGGGGGACCUUCGGGCCUCUUGCCAUCGGAUGUGCCCAGAUGGGAUUAGCUAGUAGGUGGGGUAACGGCUCACCUAGGCGACGAUCCCUAGCUGGUCUGAGAGGAUGACCAGCCACACUGGAACUGAGACACGGUCCAGACUCCUACGGGAGGCAGCAGUGGGGAAUAUUGCACAAUGGGCGCAAGCCUGAUGCAGCCAUGCCGCGUGUAUGAAGAAGGCCUUCGGGUUGUAAAGUACUUUGCAGCGGGGAGGAAGGCGAUAAGGUUAAUAACCUUGUCGAUUGACGUUACCCGCAGAAGAAGCACCGGCUAACU
rnacentral:rRNA from 1 species